rnacentral:rRNA from 1 species
AGAGUUUGAUCAUGGCUCAGGACGAACGCUGGCGGCGUGCUUAACACAUGCAAGUCGAGCGGAAAGGCCCUUCGGGGUUCUCGAGCGGCGAACGGGUGAGUAACACGUGAGGAACCUGCCCUCAGCUCUGGGAUAGCCUCCGGAAACGGGGAUUAAUACCGGAUAGGACCUGGCCCUGCAUGGGGCUGGGUGGAAAGUUU